rnacentral:rRNA from 1 species
GAAUGGGGAGAUUCAUCGUCAGCGGUGCUGGCUUCCGUGUGAAUGCGAUGGCCGGGACCUCGGUUCUGUGUCACGCGUUUGCUGCGGUAUGUCCGGCGUCGUCGGCGUGCACUUCUCCCCUAGUAGGACGUCGCGACCCGUUGGGUGCCAGGCCUACGGCCCGGUUGGUCNACUGUCGUGUCUCGUUNGCGUGCACGCGGCAGACCAUCGGUUGCCCGGCCGGCUGCCCGGCGGUAUAGAUCGCUAUAAAACGGUACUGAGCCGCAUUAAGUGCGUUCUGGCUCGUCGGCAGGCUCGUCUCGCUCGGAUUUACGGACGUGAAAUAGUGCCGUUGCCGGGCGCUUGGNGUGGCCGUUAGUCGACGAUGUCCUCGGACUGGCUCUUACAUUCGA